UUCCACUUAAUGAUAGAAAGUGCGGGUAGGAUUCUUUUACUGUGAAUCAGACUAAAAUAAUUUUAGUUUGAGCGGUUAAAAUCAAAUAUGAUUUUGCCAUGAGAACAAUGCCGAAACUGGCUAUGUAGUCAAACACUGUCGUCUGGCUAAAUAUAGAUCUACAAAUUUUGUACAUCUCUUUGGUACAAGUAAAUCAUCUAGACUCUAAUUUGAGAAUAUUAUUAAUUGAAAGAUGAAUGAAGAUUACUACCAGUAAAGAACAUUGGAGAUGUGUAGGACGUGCCCAUAAGAUGCCACAUUUUUCUCCAUCAUGAACUGUGUACUAAGGAAGAUGAUUCUGGAAUGUUAUGAACUGUUAUGAACAUUGACAUGAAUAUGAGGAACUGUCAAGAUGAAGAUGUCAAGAUUUUAUGUUUGUGGUCUUCCCCGUAAAUUGAAAAUGCCCUUGUAAGACUUGACAGUAGUGGAAAAAUAUUGACAUAUUUUUUUUCAAGGGGGGGAGGAAUCUGUUAGACACCUUAUUUAUAUAGGUUAGUUAUUUAGCGACGCACCAUAGAAGACGCAUAUUGAACGGGACUAGUGACGUUUGGGAUAUGUUGGGUUAGAGACCGAAAAAUCAGUUAGCGAUAGAACAUUCCAGGGUAACGACGUGUUUAGUGACAGAGACUUCUACUGUGGCCUUUUAUCAGAAUAAAUCCAUGUACAAUUGUU